rnacentral:rRNA from 1 species
GAGUAGCGAAAGACGGGUGAGAAUCCCGUCCACCGAUUGACUAAGGUUUCCAGAGGAAGGCUCGUCCGCUCUGGGUUAGUCGGGUCCUAAGCUGAGGCCGACAGGCGUAGGCGAUGGAUAACAGGUUGAUAUUCCUGUACCACCUAUAAUCGUUUUAAUCGAUGGGGGGACGCAGUAGGAUAGGCGAAGCGUGCGAUUGGAUUGCACGUCUAAGCAGUAAGGCUGAGUAUUAGGCAAAUCCGGUACUCGUUAAGGCUGAGCUGUGAUGGGGAGGAGACAUUGUGUCUUCGAGUCGUUGAUUUCACACUGCCGAGAAAAGCCUCUAGAUAGAAAAUAGGUGCCCGUACCGCAAACCGACACAGGUAGUCAAGAUGAGAAUUCUAAGGUGAGCGAGCGAACUCUCGUUAAGGAACUCGGCAAAAUGACCCCGUAACUUCGGGAGAAGGGGUGCUCUUUAGGGUUAACGCCCAGAAGAGCCGCAGUGAAUAGGCCCAAGCGACUGUUUAUCAAAAACACAGGUCUCUGCUAAACCGUAAGGUGAUGUAUAGGGGCUGACGCCUGCCCGGUGCUGGAAGGUUAAGAGGAGUGGUUAGCUUCUGCGAAGCUACGAAUCGAAGCCCCAGUAAACGGCGGCCGUAACUAUAACGGUCCUAAGGUAGCGAAAUUCCUUGUCGGGUAAGUUCCGACCCGCACGAAAGGCGUAACGAUUUGGGCACUGUCUCAACGAGAGACUCGGUGAAAUCAUAGUACCUGUGAAGAUGCAGGUUACCCGCGACAGGACGGAAAGACCCCGUGGAGCUUUACUGUAGCCUGAUAUUGAAAUUCGGCACAGCUUGUACAGGAUAGGUAGGAGCCUUUGAAACGUGAGCGCUAGCUUACGUGGAGGCGCUGGUGGGAUACUACCCUAGCUGUGUUGGCUUUCUAACCCGCACCACUUAUCGUGGUGGGAGACAGUGUCAGGCGGGCAGUUUGACUGGGGCGGUCGCCUCCUAAAAGGUAACGGAGGCGCUCAAAGGUUCCCUCAGAAUGGUUGGAAAUCAUUCAUAGAGUGUAAAGGCAUAAGGGAGCUUGACUGCGAGACCUACAAGUCGAGCAGGGUCGAAAGACGGACUUAGUGAUCCGGUGGUUCCGCAUGGAAGGGCCAUCGCUCAACGGAUAAAAGCUACCCCGGGGAUAACAGGCUUAUCUCCCCCAAGAGUUCACAUCGACGGGGAGGUUUGGCACCUCGAUGUCGGCUCAUCGCAUCCUGGGGCUGUAGUCGGUCCCAAGGGUUGGGCUGUUCGCCCAUUAAAGCGGUACGCGAGCUGGGUUCAGAACGUCGUGAGACAGUUCGGUCCCUAUCCGUCGUGGGCGUAGGAAAUUUGAGAGGAGCUGUCCUUAGUACGAGAGGACCGGGAUGGACAUACCUCUGGUGUACCAGUUGUCGUGCCAACGGCAUAGCUGGGUAGCUAUGUGUGGACGGGAUAAGUGCUGAAAGCAUCUAAGCAUGAAGCCCCCCUUAAGAUGAGAUUUCCCAACUUCGGUUAUAAGAUCCCUCAAAGAUGAUGAGGUUAAUAGGUUCGAGGUGGAAGCAUGGUGACAUGUGGAGCUGACGAAUACUAAUCGAUCGAAGACUUAAUCAA